UGAGGAUACUGGGUUGGGAUUUGUCCUC
rnacentral:piRNA from 1 species